UUUCCGUAGGUGAACCUGCGGAAGGAUCACUCAUAAUAAAGUGUUUUAUGGCACUUUUUAAAAAUCCAUAUCCACCUUGUGUGCAAUGUUAGAUCUCGUCAAUCUUGGCGAGAUUUUUAUACAUCAACUCAUUCUUUAACUAAUUUGUCUGAAAAAUAUUAUGAAUACUUAAUUCAAAAUACAACUUUCAACAACGGAUCUCUUGGCUCUC
rnacentral:misc_RNA from 1 species